AUACGGAGGGUGCAAGCGUUGUUCGGAAUUAUUGGGCGUAAAGCGCGUGUAGGCGGCUUGGUAAGUCGGGCGUGAAAUCCCGGGGCUCAACCCCGGAACUGCACUCGAAACUGCCUGGCUAGAGUCCCGGAGAGGAAGGCGGAAUUCCCGGUGUAGAGGUGAAAUUCGUAGAUAUCCGGAGGAACAUCAGUGGCGAAGGCGACUUGCUGGACUAAUACUGACGCUGAGGAGCGAAAGCGUGGGGAGCAAACGGAAUUAGAUACCCCAGUAGUCC
rnacentral:rRNA from 1 species